UACCGAGUUCAUGCCCUCGCGGGUAGAUCUCCCACCCUUUGUAUACUAUACCUUUGUUGCUUUGGCGGGCCGCCUAGCUACUGGCUUCGGCUGGUAAGUGCCCGCCAGAGGACCCAAAACCCUGAAUAUUAGUGUCGUCUGAGUAAAAUUUUAAUAUUUAAAACUUUCAACAACGGAUCUCUUGGCUCUGGCAUCGAUGAAGAACGCAGCGAAAUGCGAUAAGUAAUGUGAAUUGCAGAAUUCAGUGAAUCAUCGAAUCUUUGAACGCACAUUGCGCCCCUUGGUAUUCCGAGGGGCAUGCCUAUUCGAGCGUCAUUAUCACCCCUCAAGCUUCGGCUUGGUGUUGAGGCCUGCUGUAAAGGCACCCUCUAAAAUCAGUGGCAGUGCUGUCAGGCUCUAAGCGUAGUAAUUUUCAUCGCUAUAGGGUCCUGGUGGAUACUCGUCAGAACCCCCCAUUUUUUAAUGAUUGACCUCGGAUUAGGUAGGGAUACCCGCUG
rnacentral:rRNA from 1 species